rnacentral:rRNA from 1 species
AUUGAACGCUGGCGGCAGGCCUAAUACAUGCAAGUCGAGCGGAGCGGCGGACGGGUGUGUAAUGCCUAGGAAUCUGCCUGGUCGUGGGGGCUAACGUCCGGUCACGGGCGCUAAUACCGCAUACUAUCAGAUGAGCCUAGGUCGGAUUAGCUAGUUGGUGGGGUAAAGGCCUACCAAGGCGACGAUCCGGAACUGGUCUGAGAGGAUGAUCAGUCACACUGGAACUGAGACACGGUCCAGACUCCUACGGGAGGCAGCAGUGGGGAAGAUUGGACAAUGGGCGAAAGCCUGAUCCAGCCAUGCCGCGUGUGUGAAGAAGGUCUGCGGAUUGUAAAGCACUUUAAGUUGGGAGGCGUUACCAACAGAGUAAGCACCGGCUAACUACGUGCCAGCAGCCGCGGUAAUAC